rnacentral:rRNA from 1 species
UGGGGAAUAUUGGACAAUGGGCGAAAGCCUGAUCCAGCCAUGCCGCGUGUGUGAAGAAGGCCUUAUGGUUGUAAAGCACUUUAAGUGGGGAGGAAAAGCUUAUGGAUAACACCCAUAGGUUCUGACGUUACCCACAGAAUAAGCACCGGCUAACUCUGUGCCAGCAGCCGCGGUAAUACAGAGGGUGCAAGCGUUAAUCGGAAUUACUGGGCGUAAAGAGCUCGUAGGUGGUUUGUCACGUCGUCUGUGAAAUUCCACAGCUUAACUGUGGGCGUGCAGGCGAUACGGGCUGACUUGAGUACUGUAGGGGUAACUGGAAUUCCUGGUGUAGCGGUGAAAUGCGCAGAUAUCAGGAGGAACACCGAUGGCGAAGGCAGGUUACUGGGCAGUUACUGACGCUGAGGAGCGAAAGCAUGGGUAGCAAACAGGAUUAGAUACCCUGGUAGUCCAUGCCGUAAACGGUGGGCGCUAGGUGUAGGGGCCUUUUGGGGUUUCUGUGCCGUAGCUAACGCAUUAAGCGCCCCGCCUGGGGAGUACGGCCGCAAGGCUA